rnacentral:rRNA from 1 species
AACGCGAAGAACCUUACCUGGGCUAGACGACGGCGGACAGCCCGAGAAAUCGGGUCUUCUCUUUGGAGACCGCCGGUUCAGGUGUUGCAUGGCUGUCGUCAGCUCGUGUCGUGAGAUGUUGGGUUAAGUCCCGCAACGAGCGCAACCCUUGUCCUUAGUUAAAUAUCCUAGGGAGACUGCCGGGCGAAACCCGGAGGAAGGUGGGGAUGACGUCAAGUCCGCAUGCCCUUUAUGUCCAGGGCUACACACACGCUACAAUGGCCGGUACAACGGGUUCCGACACGGCGACGUGAAGGCAAUCCCUUAAAGCCGGUCUCAGUUCGGAUUGUUGGCUGCAACUCGCCAGCAUGAAGUCGGAGUUGCUAGUAACCGCUGGUCAGCACACAGCGGUGAAUACGUUCCCGGGCCUUGUACACACCGAUACUC